rnacentral:rRNA from 1 species
UACGGAGGGAGCUAGCGUUGUUCGGAAUUACUGGGCGUAAAGGGCUCGUAGGCGGCCAACUAAGUCGGAUGUGAAAUCCCCAAGCUUAACUUGGGAACUGCAUCCGAUACUGGAUGGCUUGAAUCCGGGAGAGGGAUGCAGAAUUCCAGGUGUAGCGGUGAAAUGCGUAGAUAUCUGGAGGAAUACCGGUGGCGAAGGCGGCAUCCUGGACCGGCAUUGACGCUGAGGAGCGAAAGCUAGGGGAGCAAACGGG